rnacentral:rRNA from 1 species
ACUACGGGAGGCAGCAGUGGGGAAUAUUGGGCAAUGGGCGCAAGCCUGACCCAUCAACGCCGCGUGAAGGAAGAAGGCUUUCGGGUUGUAAACUUCUUUUCUGAGGGACGAAGAAAGUGACGGUACCUCAGGAAUAAGCCACGGCUAACUACGUGCCAGCAGCCGCGGUAAUACGUAGGUGGCAAGCGUUAUCCGGAUUUAUUGGGGGUAAAGGGCGUGUAGGCGGGAAAGCAAGUCAGAUGUGAAAACUCAGGGCUCACACCUGAGCCUGCAUUUGAAACUGUUUUUCUUGAGUGCUGGAGAGGCAAUCGGAAUUCCGUGUGUAGUGGUGACAUGCGUAGAUAUACGGAGGAACACCAGUGGCGAAGGCGGAUUGCUGGACAGUAACUGACGCUGAGGCGCGAAAGCGUGGGGAGCAAACAGGAUUAGAUACCCCUGUAGUC